UGCCGUUAGCCAUCCUCUCUUGCAUCUCCGCCUUCCGCUCUGACUCUUCCCUCUCAGAAACCAUCCCAGCCCCUGCAAAAUUUCCACCUCUCUCUAUGCAAAGGAAUUUGUCUCUCCUGAGUCCCUGAAGACCUGGCUCUUCUUCUGGGAGGAGGGAAGUAGCCACAGCUUUGAGAUCACAGCCAUGAGAGUUCACUGUGGUCACUAGCCACAAGUUGCUCUUCCCAGCAGCUCUCUGAGGACACCAGACAGCGUCUGUGUUCCAGACUCCGUGGCUGCAAACACGGUUUUACAUAAAUGGAUGGAUGUGAUCAGACAGCAACGUUUUCUACAUUUUUCUUUCCCUAGUCUCCUUGGUUUUCUUCUCUCUCCUUCCCUCGUUGUUAUCCACGCUACUUACCUAGGACAACAACGACUCAUGGAAAUCCCUGCUACUCACCUGAUCAGAGUAUGAUAAUCUCCUUUGCCCUGGUACCACCACCAUCGGCAGCACGCUCGGCUCUGCAGUUUGGCAGGUGCAGGCCACCUCACUGUUACUCCAGUUCGCGUUUCCUUGGUCUGUCGUGAAGGUGACCAUCUUUAUUUUUUCUUGGAUGGUCUCUGCACAUCCUUUGCUCACUUUCCCAUUGAGUGUUUACCAUCUUGUCAACCUGGAAGAGCUCUUUUUGUGUUAACCCUCUGUUCAUCCCCUACAUUAUAAGUAUAGCAGAACCUCCACAGCUGACCACCUCCCUACCCUGACCAUCUCCUUAAGUUGACCUGAUUUUCCUAGACCUGGUACACACCGCAUGUACGUAUCAGUACAAUAGGCCAGUUCCUGUUGUUACCACAUCUGUAUGUUGGCCAAUUUGUUAUAGACCCUUGGGUGUCAGCUUGCAAGGGUUCUACUGUGUUUUUUUAAUCUUAUCUUUACUGAUUUAUUUUGCCUAUAGUAUCUUUUUCUACAUAAAAAACUUUUUCCCCAACAUUAUACAGUCUGCCCUUUAUAGCUUCUGAACAUACUCUUGCUUUAAACCUCCUCACCCCCAGAAUGUGUAAA